GAAAAUAAGAAAACCUCAGAUGCUUCAAAGCGGGCCUGCAACUUGACUGAUACCCAGAAGGAAGUGAAGGAGAUGGUGAUGGGGUUAAAUGUGCUAGAUCCGCAUACUUCUCACUCCUGGCUUUGUGAUGGGAGGCUUCUGUGUCUCCAUGACCCCAGCAACAAAAACAAUUGGAAGAUCUUCCGGGAGUGUUGGAAGCAAGGUCAGCCAGUGCUGGUUUCAGGGGUACAUAAAAAGCUCAAGUCUGAGCUCUGGAAGCCAGAAGCCUUUAGCCAGGAAUUUGGAGACCAGGAUGUAGACUUGGUGAACUGCAGGAACUGUGCUAUAAUUUCUGAUGUGAAAGUUCGGGAUUUCUGGGAUGGUUUCGAGAUCAUAUGCAGUAAGUAGCUUUCAUAUCUAGUUCAGUAAUAGCAGACUGGAAAAUAAGCAUCUAUAUGCCCAGCUCUGCCCUUGAAUAAUAAAUUAUAUUCUGGGGCAUAAUGGGGACUUGAAAAAAUAAAUAAAUAAAAAAUUAAAAACAGCGGGGCGUGGUCACUCACUGCUAUAAUUUCAGUCCUUUUGGAGGCUGAGGCGUGGAUCACUUGGGGUCAGGAGUUCAAGACCAGCCUGGCCAACUUAGUGAAACCCCAUCUCUACUAAAAAUACAAAAAU
rnacentral:sRNA from 1 species